GUCCCUUCAGAGACAUCAGAUAAAAGUGAAACGAUACAGAGAAGAUUAACAUGGCCCCUGCCCAAGGAUGACACGCACAAAUCGAGGAGUCUAUUAAUUAAUU